GAUGAACGCUGGCGGCGUGCCUAAUACAUGCAAGUCGAGCGAACAGAUAAGGAGCUUGCUCCUUUGACGUUAGCGGCGGACGGGUGAGUAACACGUGGGUAACCUACCUAUAAGACUGGGAUAACUUCGGGAAACCGGAGCUAAUACCGGAUAACAUUUGGAACCGCAUGGUUCUAAAGUGAAAGAUGGUUUUGCUAUCACUUAUAGAUGGACCCGCGCCGUAUUAGCUAGUUGGUAAGGUAACGGCUUACCAAGGCAACGAUACGUAGCCGACCUGAGAGGGUGAUCGGCCACACUGGAACUGAGACACGGUCCAGACUCCUACGGGAGGCAGCAGUAGGGAAUCUUCCGCAAUGGGCGAAAGCCUGACGGAGCAACGCCGCGUGAGUGAUGAAGGGUUUCGGCUCGUAAAACUCUGUUAUUAGGGAAGAGCAAAUGUGUAAGUAACUGUGCACGUCUUGACGGUACCUAAUCAGAAAGCCACGGCUAACUACGUG
rnacentral:rRNA from 1 species